AUGAACGCUAGCUACAGGCUUAACACAUGCAAGUCGAGGGGCAGCAUUUUAGUUUGCUUGCAAACUAAAGAUGGCGACCGGCGCACGGGUGAGUAACACGUAUCCAACCUGCCGAUAACUCGGGGAUAGCCUUUCGAAAGAAAGAUUAAUAUCCGAUAGUAUAUUAAAACCGCAUGGUUUUACUAUUAAAGAAUUUCGGUUAUCGAUGGGGAUGCGUUCCAUUAGUUUGUUGGCGGGGUAACGGCCCACCAAGACUACGAUGGAUAGGGGUUCUGAGAGGAAGGUCCCCCACAUUGGAACUGAGACACGGUCCAAACUCCUACGGGAGGCAGCAGUGAGGAAUAUUGGUCAAUGGACGAGAGUCUGAACCAGCCAAGUAGCGUGAAGGAUGACUGCCCUAUGGGUUGUAAACUUCUUUUAUAUGGGAAUAAAGUAUUCCACGUGUGGAAUUUUGUAUGUACCAUAUGAAUAAGGAUCGGCUAACUCCGUGCCAGCAGCCGCGGUAAUACGGAGGAUCCGAGCGUUAUCCGGAUUUAUUGGGUUUAAAGGGAGCGUAGGUGGAUUGUUAAGUCAGUUGUGAAAGUUUGCGGCUCAACCGUAAAAUUGCAGUUGAAACUGGCAGUCUUGAGUACAGUAGAGGUGGGCGGAAUUCGUGGUGUAGCGGUGAAAUGCUUAGAUAUCACGAAGAACUCCGAUUGCGAAGGCAGCUCACUAGACUGCAACUGACACUGAUGCUCGAAAGUGUGGGUAUCAAACAGGAUUAGAUACCCUGGUAGUCCACACAGUAAACGAUGAAUACUCGCUGUUUGCGAUAUACAGUAAGCGGCCAAGCGAAAGCAUUAAGUAUUCCACCUGGGGAGUACGCCGGCAACGGUGAAACUCAAAGGAAUUGACGGGGGCCCGCACAAGCGGAGGAACAUGUGGUUUAAUUCGAUGAUACGCGAGGAACCUUACCCGGGCUUAAAUUGCAUUUGAAUAAUCUGGAAACAGGUUAGCCGCAAGGCAAAUGUGAAGGUGCUGCAUGGUUGUCGUCAGCUCGUGCCGUGAGGUGUCGGCUUAAGUGCCAUAACGAGCGCAACCCUUAUCUUUAGUUACUAACAGGUCAUGCUGAGGACUCUAGAGAGACUGCCGUCGUAAGAUGUGAGGAAGGUGGGGAUGACGUCAAAUCAGCACGGCCCUUACGUCCGGGGCUACACACGUGUUACAAUGGGGGGUACAGAAGGCAGCUACCUGGCGACAGGAUGCUAAUCCCAAAAACCUCUCUCAGUUCGGAUCGAAGUCUGCAACCCGACUUCGUGAAGCUGGAUUCGCUAGUAAUCGCGCAUCAGCCAUGGCGCGGUGAAUACGUUCCCGGGCCUUGUACACACCGCCCGUCAAGCCAUGAAAGCCGGGGGUACCUGAAGUACGUAACCGCAAGGAGCGUCCUAGGGUAAAACUGGUAAUUGGGGCU
rnacentral:rRNA from 1 species